GCCGUUGGCAUCUGGCAUUGUGGUUCUUGAAUGAAAACAGUGGCCGGUGGGGCCUGGACCUACAAUACCACUUCUGCAGUCACAGGGAAGUCUGCC
rnacentral:miRNA from 14 species